AUGCAAAUCCACCUCACGUUGCUACUUUGCUUGCUGAAACCCCAGGGAAAUUUCUGCUGGACCCAGAGCAGAUAUAACAAUGCAUGGCCUCCGGCUUGGCUUCAGGCUCCGGAUCAGUGCGAGGUUUACAGUGCCGCGAUGAUCUCCUGGGCUCAGCUCCUCUGGCUCCUGUCCUUUGCCAUUCAGGAUGGCCCUGUUUGUUCCUAUGGCUUUACCCUUCCAGGUUCCCUGGGACAGAUUGAGAUGACGCAGUCUCCAGACUACCUGUCUGUGUUCCCGGGAGACACCCUCACCCUCCACUGCAGAACCAGUUCCACCGCGGGCACCUCCGUGGCCUGGUACCAACAGAAACCAGGACAGGCUCCCCAGCUGCUCAUCUUUGGGGCUUCUGCCCUGGCUGCAGGGACCCCGGCUCGGUUCCGGGGUCGGGGCUCGGGAACCGACUUCUCCCUCACCAUCAGCAGGGUGGAACCUGGCGACACUGCUCACUAUUACUGCCAGCAGCAUUACAGCGGGCCUCCCACAGUGCUACAACCACAGACAAAAACCUCCCUCCCUUGCAGUUAUCUGGAGGGGUGGUGGCAGGGACAGCUGUUUCCUGCAGAAACUUCUAGAAUCUAG